GUGGGGAAUAUUGGACAAUGGGCGAAAGCCUGAUCCAGCAAUGCCGCGUGAGUGAUGAAGGCCUUAGGGUUGUAAAGCUCUUUUACCAGGGAUGAUAAUGACAGUACCUGGAGAAUAAGCUCCGGCUAACUCCGUGCCAGCAGCCGCGGUAAUACGGAGGGAGCUAGCGUUGUUCGGAAUUACUGGGCGUAAAGCGCGCGUAGGCGGCUACUCAAGUCAGAGGUGAAAGCCCGGGGCUCAACCCCGGAACUGCCUUUGAAACUAGGUAGCUAGAAUCUUGGAGAGGUCAGUGGAAUUCCGAGUGUAGAGGUGAAAUUCGUAGAUAUUCGGAAGAACACCAGUGGCGAAGGCGACUGACUGGACAAGUAUUGACGCUGAGGUGCGAAAGCGUGGGGAGCAAACAGGAUUAGAAACCCUGGUAGUCC
rnacentral:rRNA from 1 species